GCCAGGUGUGGUGGUGCACGCCUGUAAUCCCAGCUACUCAGGAGGCUGAGGCAGGAGAAUUGCUUGAACCCGGGGGGCAGAGGUUGCAGUGAGCCGAGAUUGUGCCACUGCACUCCAGCCUGGGCAACAGAGUGAGACUCUGUCUCAC
rnacentral:SRP_RNA from 2 species